rnacentral:lncRNA from 1 species
GUCCCAACCAGAUGGCAGGUCAUGGAUAAAUUGUCAAACCUCAUCAUCAGUCAUAUGAUAGAUUCAAUUAUCUCGAGUCUAUGUAUGAUUCUCAUGAAAUUUAUUUUCAUUAAUCACACUACUACAGUCAUAGACUUAAAGACUCAAUUUCAUAAAUCUCAUAGGACUACUCCCUUCUGCUAGGAUCGAUAGUUCCUAUCUAAGUGUACACUUUACUCCUAUAGUGGAUCAACUGUUGCCAACAUCCACUAUAAGGGCUCAUUGAGAUCCAUGUUUAUUGUAGUCAAACUCUAAUAGUCUUACUGCGAGCAGCUAUAGCACCGCAGGUUAAAGAACCAGUCAUACAACUACAGCAUUGAGAAAGUCACUAACGAGUGAGCAGACAUCUAUAUGACUUCUCAUGUUGGUCACACUCAGUGCUAGUUGUUCUCUAACAAUCACCUGCACUUUCACUUCAGUGUCUCUACACCGCAGACUUGAGAUCCAUCUGUCCAAAGAAAGUGAUCUGUGCACUGAUCUAUCCGGAUCAAUCACCAUCCCCAUGAUGAUCCUAUGACCAGGAGUAAUUUAGAAAUCAACCAUCAAUGACAUAUGUCUCAAAUUCUCAACUCUUUGAGAAUAUGUGUCAUCAUCUUGUUAAUCUCUUAGAUGAUUCAUAGACACAUAAAUAUGAAUGGUAAUAUAAAUAUCAAAUAAGUAUAAAACUAUGUCCUAGAAAUAUGAUAUGUGUUAGUUAGGAUUGACUUCUAGGACAUACAUCCAACAAAAUACUCGAUCAGAUCUCUUAUGAUUUAACAUCAAUUUUUAAUGAGAUUUUUAUGAGGCAUAGAAGAGGAGGAGUCCUUCUAUGUGAAGGCUCUCUUACAAUAAAAGUGAUACAUGGUGAAUUUAUUCACCGUAUGAGAAAGUGGAGCACUAAAGGUUGGUGCCCCUUGGUCCUUCUCACGUCCCUUGGUUCCUUAUUUAAAUGGGACAUCCCAUAUGGCCCAGGUGCUGGGUUUUUGGGUGAAAACCAGAGAUAAGUGGCAUGUAAAUUAGAAAAAAAAAUUUAGAAAAAAUUUGAGAAAAAAAUAAAACAAAAUUGAGUGGUAAAAGUUGUAAGAAGGAUGGUGAGAGAAUUAGCAAGUAUUGCUAGUGUGCCCUAGGAUUUGGUUUUUCAUAUGUUGGAGCCCAAAAUCAAAUCCUAGGUUGUGAGACAUCUGAAAAGUAUUUUUUUGGUAUGAUUUUGAUGGCAAGAUCGAAAGCAACUGGAUUUUGGUGUGAUCGUUUUUCGAGUUCGAAGCUGGCAGUGUUCUUAAGAAGGCAAGGCUACAACGGCGCACCGGUUAGGAAGGACCUUGGCCAACUUUCAUAUGGAUUACCAUUGGAG